UUCUUCUUCAUUCUUCUUCUUUUUUCCUCUGUUUCUUCUCUUCUCCUACUCUUCUAUGAGUGAUUGAGAGAUCAAACAGGAGCUUUAUGAUUGGUAGGAGGUGUAGAAGAUAUUGUAGUAAUUGAUAGUAAUGGUUUUGUUGUCUGUUACUGUUUUAAAAUCGAAGGAGAAAGUAGAUCAGUGAGUUAGGUUGUUGUUGAUUGGUUUAGGGUUGAUUUGAGAUAGCAAUUGAAGAUGGGUUUCGAGAGCUUGAGUAGAAGAAGAAGAUUAUUACGUUAAUUUGAAGAAUAGGUUUCGGAGAAGAAGAGUAAUUUGAUAAUUAGGGUUUAUGCGUGUUGUAUUGGAAUUCGAAUUGGGCAAAGAUUGAGAAGAUUCAGAUAGAACUAGAAACGGGUUUGACUGAAUUAGAGUUUGAGAUUGAAGAACAACUUGAAAUUGGUAGAUAGGAUUGGAUCUGUUUUAAUGAAGAUGGUUUAAUUGAGAACUGAUGUUGUUAGUGAGGGUUGUGGAGAUGGUUAGCUGAACUAUGUGAUAAAGAGGAUUUGAUCUCAAUUGCCCGAGCCAGAUAAAUCAAAGGUAAUUAUUUUCUUAUUCAAUUUAGCGGAUUUGUUCACUGUUGAGUUUAUGUGAUAAUUUAUGAAGUUAUGAUGAUUUCGUAUUGAGAGGCAGUUGAACUUAAAUUAGAUGGAAUAGACUCAGUUUGGUUAUACAGGUGUGUAGUUGUGCUGGCGGUGUUUAACUGGUGGUGAAAAAUGGUUAAGACAAGUAUGUUUGUAGUGUUGAAGAAUUAGAGUUAAGCAAAUAGGCUUGUGUUGUUGUUGUGGGUGUUAAUGAUUGAAGUUGAAUGAGACUUGAGAUAUAAACAUAGAAAUGUUGGUAGAGGAGAUGGUUUGAGUUGAAUAUGGAGAUGAACUUUAGUUCCAGGGAUAGUGGUGCAGAUUAUGUGAAUGGAGCUGUAAUUGCUUAGAGUUCCAGCAAGGUCCAGAUGAAUGGAAUGAACUGGUGUUGAGAGGUGUUGAUGAAAUGGAACUGAAGUAGAAAGUAUUAUAAGGCUGUGGAAACAUGGAACUGAUUUGAAUGAGCAGUGUUGCUUGAGUUGAUGUGUUGAACAUAUGAAUAUGGGAGUGAUUGCAGGUGCAGGUGUUAGUGAAAUGGAAAUAUAAAUGGAAAUGAUGGUGAAACUGAGAUGGUAGUGAUUAGUGAGAUUAUAGGGUUAAGAGAAAUGGUGAUGUGGUGGAAUGAGUAUUGCAGGUGGUGAUGGAGUUGUCUGUGUACUGGAGGUUGAGGAUUAUAUGUUUGUAGAUGCAGACGGACAGUGUUGUCUGAGUUGAAUCUUAGAUGUAAAAAUUACAGGAUUUAUGAACUGAUAUAUGUAAAGUGAAAUGGGAGAAAGAGGAGUUGUAGUGCUGCUUAGCAGUGGCCUUAAUGGAAGCCUGCAACUGGAAAUCAAGUUAGUAUUAAUAACGAUCGAUUCAAAAGAUGAUCCAGUGGAUUGUGGAUAUCAAGGUACGAGAGGCUUGUCAUCAAAAGAGUUUCAGAGUCAGAUCAGAGUUGCGCAGCGGAAGAUUUGUGGCGUUGAGUCUUCUGUUUUAUGCUUAUUAUGUUGUAUAUUCUAUUUGCAAACCAAAUGACUAUUGUAUAUGUAUCAUUUGAGAGGAUUCUUAUUUAUAUAUUUCUGAGCGGGGUUAGUUUUUGGGUUAA